GGGCCCGUAGCUCAGUUUGGCAGAGCACUCGGCUUUUAACCGAGGUGUCGCGGGUUCAAACCCCGUCGGGCCCG
rfam:Candidatus Altiarchaeales archaeon WOR_SM1_86-2 WORSMTZ_14303, whole genome shotgun sequence.